CCUCAGAAUAGCCAAAGCUUUUAUGGUUUGGUAGAUAGCAGUAUGGUGAAAGCGUCGUUUAGGGUGUGGUCAGUUUCGGACGUUUCGCCCCGGAUUGGGGUUCGGGCAGCGUUACCAUGUUGACCGUCAUGGUCAACUUGCCCCAAAACAGUUGAGAUUAUCUGUCCUAAAUGAAAUGCAUGCAAACUCAUAUACAGGUCCUAGACUAUUGCCAUAACAGGAUAACUCAACACAAUUAAGUAGGCAGAUUCAGAUUUGACUUCCGCAUCCGCUACCGUUACCAUAAAGGAGCCAAUUACCAAUCAGAUACGUUUAAUAUAUCUGAUUAACCAAUCAGAUGCGUAUUAAGCCUUCGAUAAUGUUAAAUACACGUCUGCGAGCGAUACGUGUAUAGUGCCAAAAGAAUUUGAUUUGUAAAUAGGUUAGAUCAACCAAAGUCUCAGAUAAAGAGUCUACAUUUUAUUGUAUAUAUUUAGAUAAUUUUGUUUUAUCUUGUAACUAU